rnacentral:misc_RNA from 1 species
GUCUUCAUAGCUGAUAGUUGCUUAUUCUCAGUUUGUAGUCGAUUAGUAUCAUUAGUAAGAGUUUGAACUUGGGCAGAUAGCUCUUUCUGUAAAGAAAUUAGCUUCUGAGAUUCAGCUCUCAAUUGGAUUACCUCUAACCUCAGAGGCUCUGUAGAUCUAAGAUCAGCCUCUAACUUCAUUCCUCUUUCAAUAUACUCUCGUAAUUGUGCCUCGUUGUCAGCACGCAUUUUGGGAAUGACCUGACUUAAUCUAUGUAUAUCAUCUUUUACAGCAGACAAUUCCCUUUCAAGCAUGACAUUCUCAUCAAUCACCUGUCUGUUUUCAGCAAUUAAUCUCUGCAUGUCCCUAUGCUGGAGCUCUAGUUCCUCUUCAAGGACUGAUGGAUGAGGAGGGACGGGUCCUGGUCCUCGCUGCAUAAUACCCCGUGGUGGUGGCCCAUCAUGGAAUCCUCUGAAGUUGUCAGGUUGACGGGGCAUACGAUUUCUACCAGCCAUAACUGAGAGAUACAGCUACUUCUUCGACGACGAUGAAGCUACGGCAGAGUACGGCGAAGAUACAUAAGCUAAAACGCCACUAUGGGCCGUAAAAAGU